rnacentral:rRNA from 1 species
CAGUCGCGUUCUCUGGGAUUCAGCCUUGCUUUUGCUUGGUGCAUUUCCUAGUCUACGGGCCAGCAUGGAUUUCGACCGUCGGAAAAGGGCUGGGGGAAUGUGGCACUUUCGGGUGUGUUAUAGCCCCCUGUCGCACACGUCGGUUGGGAUCGAGGACCUCAGUGCACGCUUCGGUUGUGCUUUGAUGCUGGCGUAAUGGCUUUAAACGACCCGUCUUGAAACACGGACCAAGGAGUCUAACAUGUAUG